GGGCGUAGUUCAAUGGUAGAACUCCAGCUUCCCAAGCUGGUAGCGCGGGUUCGAUUCCCGUCGCCC
rnacentral:tRNA from 1 species